UAGACCGCCUGGGGAGUACGGCCGCAAGGUUAAAACUCAAAUGAAUUGACGGGGGCCCGCACAAGCGGUGGAGCAUGUGGUUUAAUUCGAUGCAACGCGAAGAACCUUACCUGGUCUUGACAUCCACGGAAGUUUUCAGAGAUGAGAAUGUGCCUUCGGGAACCGUGAGACAGGUGCUGCAUGGCUGUCGUCAGCUCGUGUUGUGAAAUGUUGGGUUAAGUCCCGCAACGAGCGCAACCCUUAUCCUUUGUUGCCAGCGGUCCGGCCGGGAACUCAAAGGAGACUGCCAGU
rnacentral:rRNA from 2 species